GUAUACUAGUAGUACAUACUAGUACUGGUACUACUGCCAGUAGUACAUACUAAUACCAGUAGUACAUACUAGUAUGUACCACUCGUACUAGUACGUAC
rnacentral:tRNA from 1 species